UACAGAGGUCCCGAGCGUUGUUCGGAUUCACUGGGCGUAAAGGGUGCGUAGGUGGCGAGGUAAGUCGGAUGUGAAAGCUCGGAGCUCAACUCCGAAAUGGCAUUGGAAACUACCUUGCUCGAGGGUUGGAGGGGGGACUGGAAUACUUGGUGUAGCAGUGAAAUGCGUAGAUAUCAGGAGGAACACCGGUGGCGAAGGCGGGUCUCUGGGCCGAUAUUGACGCUGAGGAGCGAAAGCGUGGGGAGCAAACAGG
rnacentral:rRNA from 1 species